CAGGUAGCUCAGUGGUAGAGCACUUCCUUGGUAAGGAAGAGGUCUCGAGUUCAAAUCCCGAU
rnacentral:tRNA from 4 species